UACGUAGGGAGCAAGCGUUGUCCGGAAUCAUUGGGCGUAAAGCGCGCGUAGGUGGCUUCGUAAGUCCGUUGUGAAAGUCAAAGGCUCAACCUUUGAAAGCCGAUGGAUACUGCGGAGCUAGAGUCCGGAAGAGGAGAGUGGAAUUCCCGGUGUAGCGGUGAAAUGCGCAGAUAUCGGGAAGAACACCCGUGGCGAAGGCGGCUCUCUGGGACGGUACUGACGCUGAGACGCGAAAGCGUGGGGAGCGAACAGG
rnacentral:rRNA from 1 species